GCCUCUUCCUCCAGGCUAAAGACAGGCACUUUAGGUUUCUUAGUGUCUUAUUUGUUGAACUGGUACGAGUCAGAGUGGGUGUGUGUGAGUUCCUGCUGCAGCAGACUGGUGUCCUCCAGACGCUAAUUUAGAAUUGUCAAUUAACUCAAUGCAAACAUCUUUGGCAUUGGCAAAAAAAAAACUGAAGUUCUAGGAGUUAAAUUCACACACAAUGACCAGGGCAGGGCUCAAAUCCUGCAUACACAAUAAGUAAAACAUGUCUAGCCAACUGAUCCUGGGAAAUU